CCUACGGGAGGCAGCAGUAGGGAAUAUUGCUCAAUGUGGGAAACCCUGACGCAGCAACGCCGCGUGGAGGAUGAAGGUUUUCGGAUUGUAAACUCCUUUUGUUAGAGAAGAUAAUGACGGUAUCUAACGAAUAAGCACCGUCUAACUCCGUGCCAGCAGCCGCGGUAAAACGGAGGAUGCAAGCGUGACUCUGAAUCACUGGGCGUAAAGAGUGCGUAGGCGGGAUAGCAAGUCAGAUGUGAAAUCCUAUGGCUUAACCAUAGAACUGCAUUUGAAACUGUUAUUCUAGAGUAUGGGAGAGGUAGGUGGAAUUCUUGGUGUAGGGGUAAAAUCCGUAGAGAUAAAGAGGAAUACUCAUUGCGAAGGCGACCUGCUAGAACAUAACUGACGCUGAUGCGCGAAAGCGUGGGGAGCAAACAGGAUUAGAUACCCCGGUAGUC
rnacentral:rRNA from 1 species